ACACCAUAGGUGUCUGGGGGAAAGUGGAAAGAAAAUAGGAAAACAAACAGAAGUUAGCUGUGGAGAAGGAGGAUGCGUAUAGGCAAGAAGCUUGGGCAAGAAGUUUCUGAAGAUAAAGGCAGUGCUGAUAUUUGUAACACAAGAGGAUAUGGGUCACCAACAGUGUGUGGGCUACUCAUUGUGGAGGCCUCUUUUGUGCUGGCGCACAGGCUUAGUUUCUCCUUGGCAUGUGAGAUCUUCAUGGACCAGGGAUCGAACCCACGUUCCCUGCAUUGGCAGCUCCUCUCUUCCAGCCAAACUCAUCCAUACAUACCUCAGUGCAUACACCCAUAGUCCUGUCUAGACCUGUGAUAGUGCAUCCUGUGAAGACCUUCCCUUUGCUUAUCUAAGAACUCCUCUCCUUCAAGCCAUCCUACCCUCGAGAAGACUUCCUCCUCUAGAGAAAUCCUUUGCCACUUCUUCACGACCCA
ensembl:lncRNA